GCAUCGCGAGUUCGAAGAAAAAUGAGGGAGCGACGAGGAUGGAAGAUGUUGAUCCCAUUAUUUAUGUAAUGGCAGAUGCAGGUAAAUAUGGUGAUGUUUAGGGGCACUAUUGUUUUUGGCCGCGCAUAAGCCAAAUUAAGCUGCAACCCACACGCUUACUCAAAAAACAGGUCUCACGUUUAUUUUAGAGAAGCGCUUAUUGGAAAAGCUACUGACAAGCUUGGUGUUUGGUAGACUUAGAGCUUUUCUGUGAUGGGAAGCUACUAAAUAAGCCCUUCUAAAUAGGGUUUUAGACUCAGCUAGUGCUUUUGGUAAACCAAACUCCUCAGCCAAAUAGCUUCAUGGUCUAGAAGUAGAGUAGACUCUUCACACCAGAUAACUCUAGCUGAAUAUUUGUAUACUCAGUCUUGCUUGUGGCAUAAUUUUUACAGGGUUUGCUACAAGACAUGGUUGAUGGUGUGACUUGGCCAGCCACCUUGCCACCAGGUUGGACAGUCGAGUGGGAUGCUGCCUCAGCAGGAGAUGAUCAGGAGGAGUAGUGGGCCAGGCUUCGCC
rnacentral:lncRNA from 1 species